AGGAUGAACGCUGGCGGCGUGCUUAACACAUGCAAGUCGAACGAUGAAGGCUGGAGCUUGCUCUGGCUGGAUUAGUGGCGAACGGGUGAGUAACACGUGAGUAACCUGCCCCAGACUCUGGGAUAAGCGCUGGAAACGGCGUCUAAUACCGGAUACGAGCUUCCACCGCAUGGUGAGGAGCUGGAAAGAAUUUCGGUCUGGGAUUGGACUCGCGGCCUAUCAGCU
rnacentral:rRNA from 1 species